GACAUUGACCUCAGCGAUGUGGA
rnacentral:piRNA from 1 species